AACGUAGGUGGCAAGCGUUAUCCGGAUUUACUGGGCGUAAAGCGUGUGCAGGCGGGCGAACAAGUGGGGUAUGAAAUGGCUCGGCUCAACCGGGCGAGGUUAUGCCAGACUGUUCUUCUAGAGUGCGAGAGAGGGGCAUGGAAUUCCGGGUGUAGUGGUGAAAUGCGUAGAGAUCCGGAGGAACCCCAGAGGCGAAGGCGGUGCCCUGGCUCGCAACUGACGCUCAGACACGACAGCAUGGGGAGCGAACGGG
rnacentral:rRNA from 1 species